rnacentral:rRNA from 1 species
AGAAUCAACGCUGGCGGCGUGCCUAACACAUGCAAGUCGAACGCGAAAGCCCCGCAAGGGGCAAGUAGAGUGGCAAACGGGUGAGUAACACGUGGGUGACCUGCCUUCGAGCGGGGGAUAACGUCCCGAAAAGGGACGCUAAUACCGCAUAACAUCCUGCCUUUGAAGAGGUGGAGAUCAAAGCUGGGAUCGCAAGACCCGGCACUUGAAGAGGGGCCCGCGCCUGAUUAGCUAGUUGGUGGGUAAUGGCCUACCAAGGCAACGAUCAGUAUCCAGCCUGAGAGGGCGACGGACAAGACGUGGAACUGAGACA